GGGUCUGUAGCCUAGUUGGUAAAGGAAGCACUCUGGUAUGUGACUCAGCAUUGCUGAGGUUGUGAGUUCAAAUCUCACCAGGCACA
rfam:Puccinia graminis f. sp. tritici CRL 75-36-700-3 supercont2.10 genomic scaffold, whole genome shotgun sequence.